rnacentral:rRNA from 1 species
AUUGAACGCUGGCGACAUGCCUUACACAUGCAAGUCGAACGGCAGCACGGGAGCAAUCCUGGUGGCGAGUGGCGAACGGGUGAGUAAUAUAUCGGAACGUGCCCUGUAGUGGGGGAUAACUAGUCGAAAGAUUAGCUAAUACCGCAUACGACCUGAGGGUGCAAGUGGGGGACCGCAAGGCCUCAUGCUAUAGGAGCGGCCGAUGUCUGAUUAGCUAGUUGGUGAGGUAAAGGCUCACCAAGGCGACGAUCAGUAGCUGGUCUGAGAGGACGAUCAGCCACACUGGGACUGAGACACGGCCCAGACUCCUACGGGAGGCAGCAGUGGGGAAUUUUGGACAAUGGGGGCAACCCUGAUCCAGCAAUGCCGCGUGUGUGAAGAAGGCCUUCGGGUUGUAGAGCACUUUUGUCCGGAAAGAAAUCGCACUUACUAAUAUUAGGUGUGGAUGACGGUACCGGAAGAAUAAGGACCGGCUAACUACGUGCCAGCCGCCGCAGUAACAC